rnacentral:rRNA from 1 species
GAUGAACGCUGGCGGCGUGCCUAAUACAUGCAAGUCGAGCGAACAGACGAGGAGCUUGCUCCUCUGACGUUAGCGGCGGACGGGUGAGUAACACGUGGAUAACCUACCUAUAAGACUGGGAUAACUUCGGGAAACCGGAGCUAAUACCGGAUAAUAUAUUGAACCGCGUGGUUCAAUAGUGAAAGACGGUUUUGCUGUCACUUAUAGAUGGAUCCGCGCCGCAUUAGCUAGUUGGUAAGGUAACGGCUUACCAAGGCGACGAUGCGUAGCCGACCUGAGAGGGGGAUCGGCCACACUGGAACUGAGACACGGUCCAGACUCCUACGGGAGGCAGCAGUAGGGAAUCUUCCGCAAUGGGCGAAAGCCUGACGGAGCAACGCCGCGUGAGUGAUGAAGGUCUUCGGAUCGUAAAGCUCUGUUAUUAGGGAAGAACAAAUGUGUAAGUAACUAUGCACGUCUUGACGGUACCUAAUCAGAAAGCCACGGCUAACUACGUG